AUGGAUCCUGGUCAGGUUCGUUACCACGGAGCCACGACGGGGAGUCCCCUGACCCAUUCUUUACCAGGCAGAGCGGACACUAAAACAACCUGUAAGAAUGUGAAAAGGUUGUGUGACUGGACGUCCCUCUUGCUUGCUUUAUUUGGAAGCAUAAGCAGAGUGGCAUCCCGUCGUGCCCCAGCCUGGGCUGUGCCCGCAGUGCCCGGAAGCUCAAAAUGGAGGCCAGAAGCCAAGUCCACCAGUCACCCUGACUGCAAAUGGGCUGGGGCGCCAUCCCUGGCAUCCUGGGGUCCUUCCGCUGCAGCUCAGCCUUCACGUUCACAGCCAGGACCUCCGGGCAAGGGCUGGAGGUGGAGACAGGGCGGCGCCUGGGCUCGCUUUUCACACCAGAAGUUACAUAACAGAGCAAAACUUGGACUGGCCCGUGUCCCGGGAGACCUCCAGCUUGUUUCUGUCCCGGACAAGGAUGGCCUCGUUCCCGUACUGAGAGUACCACAUGCUUCGGCUCCGGCUCAGGGAAACGUAAGAGGAGCCUCGGAGCAUGUUCUGAAGAGACACCCAAGAACCACACGAGAGAUGACAGCAAGCAGAUCAGCAGUGUCCUGGCCACAGUUUCCUGGGGACAGUCAGGUAUGCCCUUUAUUAGGACAAUGCACCCUCCUGGGGGGGGGGGGGUUUUGCAGGGGCCGGUGGGGGAGGGAGACCAGGAAGACGCCACCAAGCCCUGGGGGACUGUGAUGCACAGCUGCUCCCCUUGGCUCCCAGCACACUCCGGGGGAGACUGCUUUUGUCACAAGCCCCCUGGGACAGGCAAAGCUUGCUGAUUUUGAGGUGAUGGAGGAAAACCCUUCACGGCACCUAUCUUUUAUUUCAUUGAUGCAAUGGCAGCAGUCUCGGUUCCUAAUCAGGGGAGCAGAGCCAGGCUUCAGGCAGAUCCCAUGCUGCCCAGUAUGACAGCAGCCAGGAGCCACAGCGUGUGGCUGCUGGACUCUUGAAUGUGGUUUGUUUGAUGGAGGAGCUGAAUUUUUAAUUGUAUUUAAUUUCAGUUAACGUCACACCGGAUAUUCAGUUCAGUUUUGGGCAAACUUGUAAGUGUAUUUAAAUUACCCUAGGCACACGCGUCUAUUUUUCAAAUGAUACGUCUUCUGAACUUUAGCUACGGAUCAAACGCGUCCUUAACGGUGAUCAGCGUUUCCGAUGACAGUUUAGCGGUCACGCUGAAAUGUGCUGAGUGUAAAAAUGCCCUGGUUUCGAAGACUUCACAACAUGCAAAGAGAAACGGAAAGGAGCUGGCGAAUACGUUUUUGGGUUGAUUCCAUGUUGAAGUGAUACUAUUUCAGAUAAGAUGGAUUAAAUAAAACGAAUUAUUCAAACGGAAUCCA
rnacentral:lncRNA from 1 species